rnacentral:rRNA from 1 species
CGACCUGAGCUCAGGCAAGGUU